rnacentral:rRNA from 1 species
UAGGGAAUCUUCCGCAAUGGACGCAAGUCUGACGGAGCAACGCCGCGUGAGUGAAGAAGGAUUUCGGUUCGUAAAACUCUGUUGUUAGAGAAGAACAGCGCAUAGAGUAACUGUUAUGCGUGUGACGGUAUCUAACCAGAAAUCCACGGCUAACUACGUGCCAGCAGCCGCGGUAAUACGUAGGUGGCAAGCGUUGUCCGGAUUUAUUGGGCGUAAAGCGAGCGCAGGCGGUCAAUUAAGUCUGAUGUGAAAGCCCCCGGCUCAACCGGGGAGGGUCAUUGGAAACUGGUUGACUUGAGUGCAGAAGAGGAGAGUGGAAUUCCAUGUGUAGCGGUGAAAUGCGUAGAUAUAUGGAGGAACACCGGUGGCGAAAGCGGCUCUCUGGUCUGUAACUGACGCUGAGGCUCGAAAGCGUGGGGAGCGAACAGG